rnacentral:rRNA from 1 species
GACGAACGCUGGCGGCGUGCUUACCACAUGCAAGUCGAGCGGAGCGGCGAACGGGUGAGUAACGCGUGAGUAACUGCCCCCCUCUCUGUGAUCACAGUUGGAAACGGGUGCUAAUACCGGAUAGUGGGGGAUGACUCGGGUCCUAUCAGCUUGUUGGUGGGGUAGGGGCCUACCAAGGCGACGACGGGUAGCCGGCCUGCGAGGGCGACCGGCCACAUGGGGCUGAGAUACGGCCCAAAAGCGUACGGGAGGCAGCAGUGGGAAAUAUUGCACAAUGGGGGAAACCCUGAGGCAGAAGCGCCGGGUGCGGAAUGACGGCCUUCGGGUGGUAAACCGCUUUGAGCGAUGACGCGGUAGUGGCAGAAGAAGCACCGGCUAACUACGUGCCAGCAGCCGCGGUAAUUC